CUCAGAAAGUUGAAUGAAUUAGAUAAAGUUUGAUGCUUAAUGAUGCAGAUUGAAUGAGGAAACGAAGAGCGUUGAUAGUCUAGCAUCCCAAUUGUAUCCAUUCACUUUGAUCUUUGCUAAUUGUUAACUUAAUUUGUUUUUACCGUUUUUGUUUAUGCUACUUGGAAGGUUAAGCAUAGAUGUCAUUUACAAGUCACAAACAGGGUACCAACCAAAAUAUCUGAUACGACGACGUUAUCGUGGAUCUGACGUUUUCAUCGGUUUUAUAGAGGUGUGCGGUUUUCCAGUGGUAGAUCAAUUGUGUUGCGUUUCCGGUGGUGAGUUUGGUGGUGUCGGGUUCGAUAUGGUUGAAGCACUCUGAUUGUCCCUCUCUCAAUCCACCGACACCUCACUACAUCAUAUUCAAUGCUUCACCGACGCCGCCGGUCAUCUUCAAGAAUCUGUGCUUGAUGCAGCAACUAAAGGGAAUCGAUAUAUAAAUUCGUGUCUCAAGUAAGUUUUUAUACGUGUUUUUGAAGGUUUGAUUCACCAUCACUUUAUCUGUUACACGUCUUAUAUUUAUUUUCUUUUACAUUUGUCAUAUAAACUAAUAGUGAAGGGCAGAAGCAUAACUUUAAUGAGUAGAUGUAGCAUCUUUUACAAAACUGGAAUGCGUCGUAUAUGUUGUCUUUGAAUCAGCGGGUAUGUUUUGGUUUUCCUAACUUUCAUCGGAGUGGAAAUUGAUAAUUACAUUAUGGUAUUUCUGUGACAUCAGAUUCACGAACAACAAUUUGCGGAUCCGUCAACAAGCUUCCAUUCGCACACUGAUUGAAGCAAUUAUUGGGUUUUGUCUGAGUUUUUAGAUAAGAUUGUGGUCGGAUGGUGGCUGAUGAUGUUGUUCCUGGUGUUAAUCAAAUUCCAGUUAAGGCUCCCAGGAAGGUUCCUCGAUCGCCUUAUAAGGUGAAUUUGAUUUAUUUUCUUAAUCUAUUUUAUGCUGUUAAUUUAGGUUUUUGAUGUUAGUGGAGAUGAGAAUUUGUGGGUUCGUUUGAUAAGUUUUGGAUGCACCUGCGUUGCAAGAUGAUUUUUAUUUGAAUCUAGUGGAUUCGUCUUCGCACAAUGUGUUGGCGUUUGGUUUGGGUAUGCACCUUCCAUCGAAGAUGCCAACCAAAGGGGCAAUAAAGCAAAUAGAUGGUGGGAAAGUUUCUUGCCCUUUGGACAGAAAGAGGUGACGUCGUCGUAAGAGAUAUUUUCUAUUCUGUUUCAGUAGCUGGUACUCAUAUUGUUGGUUCUCGGGAGCAACUUUGCAUUCAUGAAAAAGUGAAGUUACCUUGGGGAAAAACACAAACAAAUGCUUGGCGAUAUUCCUGUCGAAGGCGUGCAAAGCAUAAACAUCAAUGUAACAAUUUCAAAAAUGUUCCUGGAAAGUUUUUAAAACCUUUUUCUUUGCAUUUAAUAUAAUUACUUAUCAGUUAUAAAUUACUUGUGAAAGUGUUUAGUGAAAUUAUUGCAUCAACUGAGGAUAAAGUGUUUCUUAUACCAUUAUGGUCCUAUUAGGUUUGUUCCCUGAGUGAUAAAGUGUUCAAUAAUUUGUGUGAUUGUGUUGGGGUAACGUUUUUUCUGUUUUUGGUAUCUUGAAAUAUCUGCAUUAUGUUGGCAUUACAUGCAAGUGUUUUGAUGAUGUUUGUUUUACUUGCUGGAUCAAACUUCUUCAAAUUGUGCAGUCAGGAGAUUUAUAAGUAUGCAUUGAAGGAGAUGGAUUAUGAGUUAUGACUAUCUAGAUCUUCACCUCAAAAAGAUGUAAGUAUAAAGGGUAAUGUUGCUCUUGCUGAACCAAUUUGGAUUGGUUUUUUGUGAUAUGCUGCAGAUAUUCGUCUAAGUACUGAUGCGGUUAUUUUGAAUCUCCUCUGUUGAUUAAGUUAUUUUAUAUUUUUUUUUGAUAUCAUUAAUGCAUUACUGCUUAUUGCAUUUUGUAGAUUUUUACGGUUGGACUAUUGUUUAGUUGGGAGUUAAUUUGGAUUUAUUGUUUUCAAACUUGGGUAAGAUUUCCCAAAAGUAUAUCUUACCUUAGCUUGCAGGUUCCAAGUUGACAUUGAAGCUUUACAAGCAUGUUGCAGAGGCAUUUGUAACAAAAUAUGGGAUGUCAAUUCUUGCAAGCUCUUCACUUCGUAUAUUGCUCAAGCAUUAGAGAUGAAGCCAUGUCUGGUAUAGCUACUGCCUGCACAAAUUUAAAGAAGCUUCAUAUCCGACGUUGUUAUGAGUAGGGUAAACGGAAAGAUGCAAAAGAAAAGAGAUACUAAGAACUCCAAAUUUGGUUUUGGAGGCCGGAAGGGAUCGAAGAAGCAGAAUACACUGACACACAGGGCCGGCCCUGGGCCAGGACAAGCAAUUUUGGGAGGUGUAGUUGGCAAUUUAUAACAAUGAUAUAAUAAAAUAUAUUACUUUUAGCGAAA